GCCGGGCGCGGUGGCUCACGCCUAUAAUCCCAGCACUUUGGGAGGCCGAGGCGGGCGGAUCACAAGGUCAGNNNNNNNNNNUGCUUUAUGCCCAUCGGGUGUUUGCGCUUAGUUCAGCUUCAGUAUGGUGACCUUCUGUGAGCAGGACCACCACGUUGCCUGAGAGGGGUGAGACUGUCCAAAUCGGAAAGGAGUGAAUCCAAACUCCAGGGCUGAUCAAGUAGUGGGAUUGUGCCUGUGAACAGUCACAGUACUCCAGCCUGGGGAACAUAGCAAGACCCUGUCUCUU
rnacentral:SRP_RNA from 1 species